GGCGGCGUAGCUCAGUCGGUAGAGCAAGUGAAUCAUAAUCACUGGGUCGGCGGUUCGAUCCCGUCCGCCGCUA
rnacentral:tRNA from 1 species